rnacentral:rRNA from 1 species
UGCCAGCCGCCGCGGUAAUACGGAGGGUUCAAGCGUUUUCCGGAUUUAUUGGGUCUAAAGAGUGCGUAGGUGGUUUAUUAAGUCAGUGGUGAAAUCCUGCAGCUCAACUGUAGAACUGCCAUUGAUACUGGUAAACUUGAGUUUGGUUUAGGUAAGUGGAAUUUAUGAUGUAGCGGUGAAAUGCAUAGAUAUCAUAAGGAACACCAAUAGCGAAGGCAGCUUACUGGACCAUAACUGACACUGGGGCACGAAAGCGUGGGUAGCGAACGGGAUUAGAUA